GACGAACCGGACAAACGUUAUUCGGAAUUACUGGGCUUAAAGGGUACGUAGGCGGUCCGGUAAGUGGGGUGUGAAAUCCCUCGGCUCAACCGAGGAACUGCGCCCCAUACUGCCGGACUUGAGGGAGACAGAGGUCAGCGGAACUGAUGGUGGAGCGGUGAAAUGCGUUGAUAUCAUCAGGAACACCGGUGGCGAAAGCGGCUGACUGGGUCUCUUCUGACGCUGAGGUACGAAAGCUAGGGGAGCGAACGGGAUUAGAUACCCCGGUAGUCCUAGCUGUAAACAAUGAGCACUUGAUCGAGGGCCCCCCCAUAGGCUCUUGGUCGAAGCGAAAGUGUUAAGUGCUCCGCCUGGGGAGUAUGGUCGCAAGGCUGAA
rnacentral:rRNA from 1 species